CACCAUGUGAAGAAGGAUGUAUUUGCUUCCCCUUCCACCAGGAUUGUUAAGUUUCCUGAGGUCGCCCCAGCCAUGGUGAACUCUGCCCUCUCAGGUCUUCAAUCUGCCAAGUGAAGUUGCUCUUUUCCCUGGAAAGUUGGUUUAUCAGAGCCUCCUUCUCUUCAAGCCUCCGUAGGAACUCGCCUACAGAAAGAUUUCACAAAACAGCCCAUGAGGCCUUUGUCUGUACAAAGAAAGUAUGCUAUGGAAAUGGAAGAACUGGGAGACAAAGAAGAGAUUACACCAAUGAAAUUUUGAGAAAACAGUGAGGUCUGGUGAGAUGAUGAAAGCUGAUGGUGAGCCUAAUAGUUUUCAAUGUUAACCUAAUUGUUAUGAUAGAGCAAUAGCCAAAGGACCAGGAGUGUUUCAAAGGUGAUGCCAAGUUUAGUCGUCUGGAAAACUUCUGUAUCAGCCAAAACCUAGGCCAUCUCUACCUGGAACCUAUGCUCUGUUUAAGAUUGCUUCCUUCAUGCUAUGUUGCAGGACUUUUCCUUAGUUCAGCUAAAGAUGGGGUUCUUUGUCCCUGGCCACAAAAAUUCAGGCUCACAGACAAUUUGAAUGGUGAGUAAGACAGGGUUUGAUUGGGUGAAAAGGAAGAAAAGGGGGAAACAGGGACUCUCACAAGGCCAAAGUCCCUGCUUGAGCUCUUGCCACCCGCAGCUUGAAUCCCAGGUUCCACACAGGAAGAGGAGGGGCCGGGUUCCAACCCACUGCAAAUGGCGUGAACUUUCCGAGGCUCCACUCCAGUGGGCAGGCUGGUUGGAGAUUCUCCAGGGACCCCCUCCCACCUGGCUGUCUCACUACUAAUGGCUAUUCUCUGAAAGACUACUGAAUUAUGUCUUCUUAUAUCUCCAAUGCAGUGUUAUGUAGUUCCAGUUCACAGAUGUCCUACAGCACACCCAGGCUUGGUAGAAACAGACUUAACAGAGAUUCAAUGGCCAGUUUCUCGAAUGAUGCCAUCAGCCUCACAUAGGUUAGAGCAUUAAUGUUAAAUGCCAGACAUGCUCAAUUGUCCCCACUCUCUACUCCUAACUAGAAGAAAGCUAUAGUAGUGAUCAAUGUGACAGUUUUUAGGUUGUCUGCACAGUUUCUAAUUAUAUGUUGAAUUUGUUUGCUCUCACUUCUGAAAAUGACUUUGACAGUCAAAGUUGGCAUGCUCAUUUUCUUCCUCACGAUAUCUCUCAAAAGUUCAGAUUGCCUCUUUCUACAAAUGAGAAAACUGAGCACCAGAGAGGCUAAAUAACUAGCCCAAAUUCACACAGCUAUUAAAUGUCAGAAUUGGAAUUCAAACUGAAACUGCCUGUGCAGAUGCACACACACACAGAAAAUGUCAAAUAUUAGAUUUCUAAACAUCUGUUGUAUGAAGUGGUGAUAAAGGAAAUAUUAAGGAUUAAUUGACUUGAUGUCCUAGGUGGCCCAAAUUGUCAUGAAUCCUGGGUUCCAGAGGAAAAUGGAUAAAAAUAGGAUGAUUAUGAAAACCAUUUUUAUUUUAUGAUGUCUCCAAUAGUAAAUGACCUGUUAACUGAGCCAGGAGGAACAUAUCCAGGUGUGAGAAAUGGCAUCUGUUUAGGGCCCUGAAUAUGUUGUGCUAUGCACCUGUGUGCUUAGGGUGAAAAAGCACAGAUCUCUACAAGACAACUUAGUCAAUGGUGCGUGGAAAUGGUAAGAAAAAGAGCCAAAAACUUCCCAGUUUUUCAAAAGAGGUCUCCAUGUGGUGAAGGCCAGCUGGGCUGUGUGUAUCUGUAGAGUGGGCAGCCCACUUGGACAGAUAGAAAAGGCACUUGCCCUUAGGCAUAGCUUCACAUGGUAGGUAUCCACAUAGGCACUGCUAACCACUGGUAUAGUGUUUCCAUGUAUAAAGUAUUUUCAUAAACAGGAUCUGCAAAAAGACAAUUAGAUUGUUUAUCUAACAGUGGCCUAUACAGGGAUAUAGCAUGCAAAAGAGUUGUACCCUCAAAAGAAUUUUUACUUUAAGCAUAAGGAUAAGCGGUAUGUUUUGAUACCAGGGAUGAGAAGGUUAAUAGAAUAAGGCACAUUUAUCUUAUAGUUGAUUCUUAAAAUGAUGCAUAAAAAUGCUGCCUCCCACAAAUGCAGGGACCAAUGGGAAUUCAAAAUAAUCAAGAUAAUUGUGAAAUUUCCUAUAACUUCUAAAUUGCCCUGAGCCUCUUUGUCAGCAUAAUAUGCUUUUGAAAAUGCUUCAGUCUCCACUGUACCACUGAGCAUUGGCAUUCUUGCCAUUAUAAUUCAGAAAAUGAUAAAGUAAACAAUUCAAGGAACAGUUUAGCCUAAUGUAUAUGCCUAUGAGAGUUAAGAGAAACAAUUUAUCUUGCCAACAAAUAUUUAAAGCAGCAACAGGACAUGCUCACCAACAGACAUACACAGGAUUUGGAAUUGAAGUUCAUCUCUUCCAUAGAAUUGUGUGACCUUGGACAAGUCACUGAAUCUAUGAACUCCAAGAGGUAUAUGUAAAAGUUGAUGCUAGUAAUUGAGUGCAGAGACUCUACAAAGCACUGUACUAAACAUGAAAAAUGAGACCUAGUUUCUGCUUUCAAUGUUAGCAAAGUUAAAAGACUAGAUAAUGCAUAAGUAUAAAGAGGGACCCCAAAAGUGCUACAGGAACUCAAAAACAGGUAAGUCUUUAAUGCAGGAGGUUGAACUUGAGCAUUCCAAAGAGAAUAAUUAGUUUGGAAAAGGCAGAUUGGUGUAAAAAUGAAUAUUUGGUUAAAGGCAAGCUGAAAUGGAAGGUCCAUGAAACAAAGCAAUGGGAUCUAAAACUGGCAAGACUGGUUGACUCUGAUCAAAGGUUACAAGGUACCUCAAAAGCAGAAGUUUGGAGUUCAUUUUUAAGCAGGGACAUAAUUCAAUAAAUCUGUGCUUUAUAAAUAUUCUAAAUACUUUACAAAUAUUAAUUUUGGCAUAUAAAUAUAGGAUGGUUUGAAAAAAGGAAGACUAGAAGCAAAAAAGAUAAUUUAGGAAACCACUGCAGUAAUCUACUUAAAAGUAGAGAGACCUACAUGGGAAUGGGAAUGGAAAAUUAUGAGAUGGUAAACACUGACCUGCUGCAAUAAUUGACUGAAAAGCAAAUAGGGAGGGAAGAAGUGGUUGAGACUUAGAACCUGAGUUAUAAAAAGAAAUCAGGUGCCAGUGACAGAGAUGUUCAGAGGAAGUGCCAGCUUCAGGAGAAAUAAAGACACAUGGCAGGGAUUAAAGGAGUAAGGAGGUAGUGAGAUACACACCUACCGCUAGAAAAAGCCUAUAUUCCCAUGAAUGGAACAUUAAGAAUCAUUCUGAUGAGGGCUCACAAGAAGAGGAGAGCUAUAGAGAGAGAAUUAAUCUUCUUAGAGAUAGUUGGAUGACUGUGAUUACAAUGCUGGUAGUAACACGGACAGUAAAGGCAAUUCUGCUGAGGUCUUAAAUGGAAAUGGGGAAUAUCCUAUUGGAAACUGGAAGGCAGACCAUCCUUAUUACAAAAUGUCAAGGAACUUGGCUGAACUAUGCCCUAGUCCCUUGUGGAAGGCAGAAUUUAAGAGUCAUAAACUAGGAUAUUUGGUGGAAGAAAUCCUUAAAGAAAGUGUUCAGGGCUCCAUGGCUUCUCUUGAUUGCUUAAAACAAAGUAUGAAGAGAGAGAAAUAAAGAUGAAAUGUAUAAUCAAAGAGAAGCAGAAUUGAAAGAUUUAGAAAAUUCUCAGCCUGGCCAGAUUGUGAAGAAUAAAAAAGUAUUUUCAGAAAAAAAAAAAACAAAACCCUGAGGCUGUAGACAACCAAACAUUUGAUAAGGAAAUUAGUAGGGAUAGAAAGAAGACAGGUGCUAUUCAUCAGGACAAGGACAAUGGAAGAAUGACCCUGAAGGCAUUUCUGAGACCUUUGUGGCUGCCCCACCCACAAAGGCCCAGAAGGCCAGGGCCUUGAUGGAAACAUGAUUUCAAGAGAGGAUUCCCGUGAGACCUCAGAGCUUGCUGCCCAGGGCUGCCUCAAGUCUUUGCUCCCCACAUGCCAGUUCAGUGCUCCUCUGCUACUCAGGCAGGCCCAGGUUCAGCUCAGGUCACCACUCUGGAAGGCACAUGCUGUAAACCAUAGCAGCAUCCAUACAGUGCUAACUCUGUAGGAGAUAUGGAAGCAUAGCUCCUCCACCUAGAUUUCAAAGGAUAUUUUGGAGAGCCUUGGGGUUCAGGCAGAGAAUUGCCAUGGAAGCAGGACCACUGCAGAGAGCCCCCACUAUGGCAGUGGUGGUACUGUGAGGGCACAGCUGCCCCCAACACCCCAGACUUGUAGAGCCACUAGCAUGCAACACUAACCUGGGAGAGCCACAAGCACCCAACUUCAAUUCCUGAGAGCUCCUGCCAGGGGGGCAGUGCUACGUGGGGGCCUGGGGACCCAAACUCCACCCCAGUAUGUCCAGAAGGUCAGACAUGGAAUCAAAAAGAUUAUUCCCCACUUUCAAGAUUUAAUGUUGUUUGCUUUGUUUUGUGUUGGGCUUUUCCCUUUGUCACCUCUUUUUUCUUUC